ensembl:snRNA U4 U4 spliceosomal RNA
CGCUUUGUGCAGUAGCAGUAUCAUAGCCAAUGAGGUUUAUCCGAGGUGCAAAUGUUGCUAAUUGAAAACUUUUCCCAAUACCCUGCCAUGAUGACUUAAAAUAAAGUCAGCACUGGCAAUUUUUGACAGUCUCCAUGGAGA